GUGGACUUGGUUAGUCAAUAUUGCAGUUAAAAAACAUGCCCCGCCACUUUUUCAUUUUUAAUGUUUCGUAUAGACAUCUAUUGCUGUCACGGCAAAGAAAGAUACCCAGUUAUUGUAGCCUUUUAAGGGCUUUCACAAAAGCCAGCGUUACAUUAUGCAAUACAAUAUUUCACGGUUACAUAAAGGCCUUCGUGAACAUGUGUGUUACUGGGGCAGCUCAUGUGGUUUCUGCACUGUAAUGAUCUGUCACUUUGAACUUUUAUACCACCUUAACAUUCUUAAGAACGUAA